rnacentral:lncRNA from 1 species
UUAUUUUUGAGAGAGAUACACACACACAGUGCCAGUGGGGAGGCACAAAGAGAGGGAGGCACAGAAUCCGAAGCAGGCUCCAGUGCAGAGCCCGACGCGGGGCUCAAACCCACAAACCGUGAGAUCAUGACCUGAGGUCGGACGCUUAACCGACGGAGCCACCCAGGCGCCCCGUGUGCGUAACUGUUAUUAAAGUGCUACCGUCCCGAUGAAUGUUUCCUGCUUCGACGAGCGCCUGCCAAUGGGGCGUAGAGCGGGAUUUUGACACCUUAAUGAUUUCUCCGAUGCUGCCCUGUGAUUUCCCACAGUCAUUCAUGCGCGUCAAUGAAGUCUCCAGGAUCCCGUUCGGAAAGCCUCAUGCAUCGUCCGGCUGAACGCCCCGUCCCAAUUUCUGUGACAAGGUAACCAGGUGGGAGAAAGGAUUCCGUUUGGGUCUGAGGCUCUGCAGCCAGGAUUUUGCUCUCUGCAGCGGAUGUGUUCCUGACUACUUCCACACUCCUCAUCUGCGCUGACACUUCUAUCCCUCGAGCUCAUCUCCCCACCAGAGGUAAGCUCUAUGUGGGUGGGGGCCACGUCUGUCCCUUCUCCAUCAUGUCUAUCAAGCCCU